rnacentral:rRNA from 1 species
AGUGAACGCUGGCGGUAGGCCUAACACAUGCAAGUCGAACGGCAGCACAGUAAGAGCUUGCUCUUACGGGUGGCGAGUGGCGGACGGGUGAGGAAUACAUCGGAAUCUACUUUUUCGCGGGGGAUAACGUAGGGAAACUUACGCUAAUACCGCAUACGACCUACGGGUGAAAGCAGGGGUUCUUCGGACCUUGCGCGAUUGAAUGAGCCGAUGUCGGAUUAGCUAGUUGGCGGGGUAAAGGCCCACCAAGGCGACGAUCCGUAGCUGGUCUGAGAGGAUGAUCAGCCACACUGGAACUGAGACACGGUCCAGACUCCUACGGGAGGCAGCAGUGGGGAAUAUUGGACAAUGGGCGCAAGCCUGAUCCAGCCAUACCGCGUGGGUGAAGAAGGCCUUCGGGUUGUAAAGCCCUUUUGUUGGGAAAGAAAAGCAGCAGGUUAAUACCCCGCUGUUCUGACGGUACCCAACGAAUAAGCACCGGCUAACUUCGUG